rnacentral:rRNA from 1 species
CCUGAUGGCUAUAGUGCAACGGAACCACCUGAUUCCAUACCGAACUCAGAAGUGAAAAGUUGUAACGCCGAUGGUAGUGUAGGGUUUCCCUAUGUGAGAGUAGGACACCAUCAGGG